UACGGAGGGUGCGAGCGUUAUCCGGAAUUACUGGGUUUAAAGGGUGCGUAGGCGGCCAUGUAAGUCAGGAGUGAAAGUUUGCGGCUCAACCGUAAAAUUGCUUUUGAUACUGCAUGGCUGGAAUCAGGAGGAGGUCAGCGGAAUAUGUCAUGUAGCGGUGAAAUGCUUAGAUAUGACAUAGAACACCAAUUGCGAAGGCAGCUGGCUACACAAAUAUUGACACUGAGGCACGAAAGCGUGGGGAUCAAACAGG
rnacentral:rRNA from 1 species